GAGAGGGAGAGAGAAGGGGGGAGAGAGAGAGAGAGAGAGAGAGAGAGAGAGAAUCUCAAGCAAGCUCCACACUGUCAGCAUGGAGCCCCAUGUGGGGCUCAAACCCACAAACCAUGAGAUCAUGACCUAAGCUGAAGUUGGACCCUCAACAACUGAGCCACCCAGGUGCCCUGGGAGCCUCAAUAGUUUAUGAUCUCCCCUAAGGAGAGUUUGUAAAGUGGCAGCUAAGGAGCUCAGGUUGGAGUCCUUAGGAACUCCCAAAUGGCAUGAACAGCAGAGGAGAAAGAGCCAUUGGAGGAAAUUGAGAAGGGGCCACCAAAGUAGGCAGUCACCAGGAGGGUGUGACAUCACAAACCCAGCAAAAGAGGAAGUGUCACAAAGGGUGAUCAGUUGUGUCAAACACUACUAAGAAGUUGAGCUUUAAGUCUGGAUUUAAGAAGACAUUAGAUAUAGCAGCAUGAAAGUCUUUGUUGGAUCUUAAUAGGAAUAUACUCAGAUAAGUGGAGGCAACAAUCUCUCAGGUAGAAGGUGAAAGGCCUCUUGAAGCCAGACCAGCCAGUUUUUGUAGCAGGCUCUGCUUUAUUCCUAGAGUGGAUUGAGAAGUCAGUGCAUUAUCUCAUGUGAUCCUUCUACAAUCAUGUAAGACCAAGGGCCAGAAGGGUGAGAUCACCUGUCUAUAGCCAGCCAGUAAGUUAACAAAAGAGCAGGGAUUAGAACACCAUUCAAGAGCCACAGUAGGUGAGUUUGAUUCAAGUGGAGAACUAAGGCUAAAGAAUGGUUGCCAAUUGGGAUGUGUUGUAGAGGCCUUUCUGUAUCAUACCUGAACACUGAGAAGCCACAAGAGGUCUUUAUGGUAGAGAAGGGUUCACUGGACAGUCAAGAAAUGAUUGCAUGGAACACAGCUGUUAACAAUUAAAAUUUUUUUAAUGUUUAUUUAUUUUUGAGAGAGACAGAAUGUGAGUAGGGGAGAGGUAGAGAGAGAGAGGGAGACACAGAAUCCUUAGCAGGCUCCAGGCUUUGAGCUGUCAGCACAGAGCCCGAUGCGGGGCUUGAACUCAUGAACCAUGAGAUCAUGACCUGAGCCGAAGUUGGACGCUUAACCGACUGAGCCAUUCAGGUGCCCCAUAGCUGUUAACAAUUAAAUUAAGCAUGUUUCUGUAUGCCAAUGUGGAGCUAUCAGCACAUACUAUUAAAAAAAAAAAAAGGAAAAAAGCAAGGUGUACAAUAGCAUGUAUGUGCCCACGUGUGUGCAAAUGCAUAAAAAUUCUCUGGACAGUUAAGUAAAAACAUGCUUAUUCUGUUUGCCUGCAGCGAAGGGAAUUGGAUGGCUGAAGUACAGGUGUAGGAGCUGGAUAGAUUUUUCUUUGUAUGUUCUUUUGAACACUUUUAUUUGGGACCUUUUGUAUAUAUUACUUACAUACAAUCAUCAUUUUUAACAAAGACAUUUUUGUCUGGCCUGGAAAGCUCUUUGGUUUUUUUAAAUUUUAGAUACAAUAUUUUUGUGGUAGACAAUACCUUUUGGUAAAGUACUUGUCUGACUAUAGAGUGAUAGUAUCAAGGUUAAUUGUAUAGUUACUGCUUCAUUCAUAUUCAAAAAAAUGUUAGAAAGGGUGUGAUAUCCCGACAUUAAAAGUUGAUUUAUUUCCCCCUGUGCUUACUUUCCAAGUAAUGACUGCAGUUUUUGAAAGCGUGCCAGAUACUGUCACACACAACUCAGAUGGGAAUCUAAACGCAGCCAUAUCCUCCCACAGCUGGCUGAGGACUCAGUGUGUGCUAUAUAUAGCAAGGACAAAUAAAAUCAAUCCUACUUUAAAAAUGCAAUUCAUGAGAUAUCUGCAAAAUAGUGAACUUGAUACACAUUCUGUAAUGGAAAUUGGAAGAGAGGAGCAAUACCCAGGUUGACCAGCCUUUGCCUUUCCUAGUUGUCUAGUUUCUAGAACAUGAUUGGACCCAUAGCUCAUCCAAAUUCACUUAGCAAGCCCUGUUGUAGCAGGAGUAAACAGAAUCUACAAACUUGCGGUUCUGUUCCUCCAAAGAAAGACCUUCCCAGCUGAGUUUUGCUUAUGUAGAAACAUCUGCUCCAUCGAAGAUCAUGUUUCAGUGCUUUUGUGAAUGCAUGCUCAGCCUCAUAAUUUCAUAUUUUAGCUAGGUUUAGAUUUUCUAGAAAGUAAAAGAGCAUCUAUCUAGCGAAUUUUUUUUAAGUUUAUUUAUUUAUUUUGACAGAGAGUACUUGUG